CUCCUUUAAAUGCAAAUAUCAUAUGAGCAGCUGAUCGAUUUAUUGCUUGAACUGUGCAUCCUUUUUAAAAAUAAAUAAGGUCAAUUUUACUAUCGUGAAACUUAGUCACUGAAGACAACGCAAUCUGGCUGUGCCGGUUCCCCUCUGCCUAGAUCACUUAGAAUAUCCAUAGUUAGCAAUACUUUUAUCGUUUAAUGCAGCGAUAUAGCCAGUUAUCAAUGCUACAUAGUAGAUUUUAGCCUGUUCCAAUCAUCCUUAUAUCGCGUUAAUGGAAUUUAUGAAAUUGCCUACCGUUCAAAUCGCUCUCUGUUGUUAGCACCACACUGAUUAACUACGAUGUUCCAAUUUUUUAGAAUUAUGUCCGACAUAAUUCUAAUUUUUGCUGUUACAGCAGAUAGUUAUGGUGUAAUGGCACGCAGGAAUAAGUCAUCCCUGUCCUCCAAAAAGCCCAUGAAAAGGAAGAAUUGAAGCAAUCUCAAAAGAAAAGAAGGGAAUCUGGAUCCUUCGUCGGAUCGUCAAAGAGCUUAGAGGGGAGCUCUACGCUUCACUGGCCAUGCAAAGCAGGGAGAGUGACGGAGGCGGAGGCACUGCUGGCUGCUGGAACGGACAUUAACAAGCUGGACAGAACGCAGUUUAACCCUUUCAUGGACGCGAUCAACUCAGGACAGGUCGACUGUGCUAGAUGGCUGCUGAGGCAAGACGGUUUAAAGCUUCAGACCGAGAUAUGGUCGUUUUGUAGGGAGAGGGUGCUAGAGUCAUUGCUAACAGCUUAACAGAAGGUAGGGAGAGCGAUCCAUGGCUGUCCCGAUAGACCCACUCAGACUCCUGCCGGAAGAUACUCCUCCGGUUGAUCCAGAUGAGACAGUUCUAGCAGAUGAUCAGUUACAGACUGAAGAACAUAUCCCGCAGAUCAAUGCGUCAACAUCUGCAAAUGAAGCUGAUAUCAGAAUCGACAUGAUGAUGGUACUACACGAGAUGCUCAUGGAAAAGGUCUCCGUUUGCUUUCCUCCUCCCACGAGCAGUACAAAGUGUGGGUUCAACUUUAAUCUGAUAGA